GCCCAGCUAGCUCAGUCGGUAGAGCAUGAGACUCUUAAUCUCAGGGUCGUGGGUUCGAGCGACAUGUUGGGUG
rnacentral:tRNA from 1 species